UAUCUAUGCAGAAUUCCUUGGUGGAAGCUUCACAGGUGAUGCUUAGCCACACCUUGUAUGGUGCUGGUGUUCUUCUCCGCAUAGAAAAGGCAUUAGCUCAGUCUGGGGUGUCUAGGGAAGAUGUUAAUUACAUCCACACCAGUCGGAGACCUCAAAGAGUAUAAUGCUCUUGUUCAUUGUUUGGCAAGAAUCCUGAGUUGAGAGUAAACUCUACAGAAUCCAUGAUUGGCGACCUACUAGGAGCAGCUGGUGCUGUAGAACCUGUUGCAGCAGUAAAGGUAACUUAUUUGAUGUUUUCACCUUGGAAGUACCGUAUAAUUUGAAGUCUUGUAUGUAAAGACCAAAUACAACUCAGUAAUUUGAAAUACCUGGAAGUACUUAGUACUGUAUAAUUUGAAGUCUUGUAUGUUGUUUGCAAGCAUUAAAGACCAAAUACAAAUUAGUAGCUGGUUCAUUCAUGACAUCUGAGAAAUUCAAUUUUGAUGACUACCUGGAAUCAAAACUUCCAAGGGACUUUGGUGGGAUGGAAAGGCUCGACAUGUUCUUCCCAUUUGACCCAUGUCUGCUGAUAAAAAGUGACAGAAUGAGUGUCUCGUGCUUGCUAGUUAUUUGUUUCAUGCCUGCCAAGUUUCUGUUAGUCUUUGUGGUUGCUGGCACACUGGAAAGAUUGCGUGCAAAUUUGAAUCCCCAUUCGCCUCUAUUCUGUUAUUACAAUGACCUAACAUUGAGACAAGGAAAGGAAAGCCCCAAGGAAUUUGUUUAAUGCAGUUGUCAUAUGUUACUCUGGUUCCAGGUUGGUGGAUUGGUGUGUAAAAUAUGUCAAAAUGCAGGAUGAUGAAAUAAAUCCACACGCUCAUAGGAUAUUUUAUUCUGGAUAUGCAGGGAAGAAAAGAAAUGUUUAUGCAAUGGAAGUAUAAACAUUUAGAUGAUAAUGAGUGUAUCGUGGAGCACAGAUUGUGUCAUGCUGUCUGUAUACCAAAUUAACUUUAACUAUAUGCAAUCGGUGCAAAGCAUUCCUAUUAAUGGUUAUUUAUUGGUCCAACAAGCCAUCGUACGUGUAAUUGCUGUGCUUCCGAAUGAGAUCAAUGAUGGAUGAUCCUCAGCUGAAGCCAUGGCUUGUUCCUUUGCGUUUAGAGUCAAUUUUGACUAAUAAGUUUAGGUGUGUCUGCCUUCCAUUGUAUUGGAGUUUCUACGGCAAGCAAAAGCAGCUAGGUUAUUCAUGACAGCUGAGAAGUUCAAUUUUGACGACUACCUGGAAUCGAUCAGCACUUUCAAGGGAAUUUGGUGGGAUUGAAAUGGAAGGCUUGACAUGUUCUUCGCAUUUGACCCAUGUCUGCUGAAAUAAAAGUGACAGAUUCCAGUGAUGAAGAUGCCGACGACGCUCUUGCGGGUGACGGUGGAAAUGCAGCGCUUGGAGGAACAUCAUUUUGAUUUUGAUGAAUCCGACUCUGCAUUGAACAAAAUAUCUAUCACACCAAAAGAUUCCUUGCAUAGUAGGUUUGGUGGUGCAAUAAACCAACCCAUGCGAAUGCCCUCAAGAAUUAAACCGUUAAAAAGUCCGGCGUCUUUGUAAAUUGAAAGUGUGUAACCCCA